rnacentral:rRNA from 1 species
GUUAUCUUCUCUAGCGAGACAGCCUCCCACAAGGAAGANGAAGGUGGGGAUGACGUCAAGUCNUCAUGGCCCUUAUGUCCUGGGCUACACACACGCUACAAUGGCCGGUACAAUGGGUUGCGAAAUCGUGAGAUGGAGCCAAUCCCACCAAAGCCGGCCCC